rnacentral:tRNA from 1 species
GUCAGGAUGGCCGAGUGGUCUAAGGCGCCAGACUCAAGUUCUGGUCUCCAUAUGGAGGCGUGGGUUCAAAUCCCACUUCUGCA